AGAACGAACGCUGGCGGCAUGCCUAACACAUGCAAGUCGAACGAGACCUUCGGGUUUAGUGGCGCACGGGUGCGUAACGCGUGGGAAUCUGCCCUUGGGUUCGGGAUAACAGUUGGAAACGACUGCUAAUACCGGAUGAUGACUUCGGUCCAAAGAUUUAUCGCCCAAGGAUGAGCCCGCGUAGGAUUAGCUUGUUGGUGAGGUAAGAGCUCACCAAGGCGACGAUCCUUAGCUGGUCUGAGAGGAUGAUCAGCCACACUGGACUGAGACACGGCCCAGACUCCUACGGGAGGCAGCAGUGGGAAUAUGGACAAGUAGGCGAAAGCCUGAUCCAGCAAUGACCGCGUGAGUGAUGGAAGGUCCUUAGGUU
rnacentral:rRNA from 1 species